GGCAGUUGCAUGGGACAGGUUACAGGUUCAGGUUCGGGUUCAGGUUCAGGUUCGGUUUGUUACAGGUUACAGGUUCUUUCAUGGCUGAAAGAAAUGCUUAUGUAACACUGAAGGAUCACAAAGAAAACUUUUAAAACAACCCCAAAUUACGUCUCAUUAAUCCUGCAAAGAGUGAGCUGGGAAAAGUCAGCAAAGUCAUUCUUGACAAUAUUAACAAUCGCAUUAAAU